UUUGGUCGUGAAUAUAAGGAUUACAAUGACUACUUAAUACAUUAUCAAGCAUUUGUAAAAUCCCUGAUUUUUAUUAACAAUGCUAACGCAAAAGAGACCCUUACGACCUUCGGCAUCGGACCGUUUACAGAUUAUACAGAGGAAGAAAAGAAGACGCUAUAUGGUACAAGUGUUGUUGGUUAAGGCUGCACUGAGGGCAAUCAUCUGAAGGCGGCUACGAAAUAUUUCUGCUGUUUCAAUAAAAAAUGUUUUAAACUGAAAA